rnacentral:rRNA from 1 species
GAUGAACGCUGGCGGCGUGCCUAAUACAUGCAAGUCGAGCGAACGGACGAGAAGCUUGCUCUUCUGAUGUUAGCGGCGGACGGGUGAGUAACACGUGGAUAACCUACCUAUAAGACUGGGAUAACUUCGGGAAACCGGAGCUAAUAACGGAUAAUAUUUUGAACCGCAUGGUUCAAAAGUGAAUGACGGUCUUGCUGUCACUUAUAGAUGGAUCCGCGUUGGAUUAGCUAGUUGGUAAGGUAACGGCUUACCAAGGCAACGAUGCAUAGCCGACCUGAGAGGGUGAUCGGCCACACUGGAACUGAGACACGGUCCAGACUCCUACGGGAGGCAGCAGUAGGGAAUCUUCCGCAAUGGGCGAAAGCCUGACGGAGCAACACCGCGUGAGUGAUGAAGGUCUUCGGAUCGUAAAACUCUGUUAUUAGGGAAGAACAUAUGUGUAAGUAACUGUGCACAUCUUGACGGUACCUAAUCAGAAAGCCACGGCUAACUACGUG